GACGAACGCUGGCGGCGUGCUUAACACAUGCAAGUCGAACGGAAAGGCCCUGCUUUUGUGGGGUGCUCGAGUGGCGAACGGGUGAGUAACACGUGAGUAACCUGCCCUUGACUUUGGGAUAACUUCAGGAAACUGGGGCUAAUACCGGAUAGGAGCUCCUGCUGCAUGGUGGGGGUUGGAAAGUUUCGGCGGUUGGGGAUGGACACGCGGCUUAUCAGCUUGUUGGUGGGGUAGUGGCUUACCAAGGCUUUGACGGGUAGCCGGCCUGAGAGGGUGACCGGCCACAUUGGGACUGAGAUACGGCCCAGACUCGUACGGGAGGCAGCAGUGGGGAGUAUUGCACAAUGGGCGGAAGCCUGAUGCAGCAACGCCGCGUGCGGGAUGACGGCCUUCGGGUUGUAAACCGCUUUCGCCUGUGACGAAGCGUGAGUGACGGUAAUGGGUAAAGAAGCACCGGCUAACUACGUG
rnacentral:rRNA from 1 species